UCGGGAGAAGGGGUGCUCUUUAGGGUUAACGCCCAGAAGAGCCGCAGUGAAUAGGCCCAAGCGACUGUUUAUCAAAAACACAGGUCUCUGCUAAACCGUAAGGUGAUGUAUAGGGGCUGACGCCUGCCCGGUGCUGGAAGGUUAAGGGGAGUGGUUAGCUUCUGCGAAGCUACGAAUCGAAGCCCCAGUAAACGGCGGCCGUAACUAUAACGGUCCUAAGGUAGCGAAAUUCCUUGUCGGGUAAGUUCCGACCCGCACGAAAGGCGUAACGAUUUGGGCACUGUCUCAACGAG
rnacentral:rRNA from 1 species